rnacentral:lncRNA from 1 species
GUCACAAUCAUGUCUUUUCCCUUAAGGUUCUCUACUAUCUUAGAGUACCUGGCAUUGGGCCCAGUGCCAGGCAGCUGUGUGUCUAGUGAAUGAGUAAAUAAACAAAAUACAUAAGUAAACUGAAGAAGCAUGUACAAAGAGGAAAAAAGAAAAAGGAAACUGUGAUUUGGGAUCUAGAAUAUCUGAAGAGUAGUCCGAUAACUUCCAUGAGGACCAAAAGAGAGUGGCGGCCACUACUGACACCAGGAGAAGAGAGAGCUAUAGGGUUAGGAGUUGCUAGUCAUGAGGGCCCAUUAGCUCCUCCAUCUCUAGCCUAUAAAAAGAUAAGUGAAGAAGUUACUCUGUAACACAGUGGAGUUUGUGUGGCUCAUCUGCUUCACAUUUGGGGUUCCUUACUAUUGUCAAGAAUAUAUUCCAGGAUUGGACUAUAUUUUCAUUUAAAUAAGUUCUCAUGUGGUCAUUUUCAACUCAGAUGAAUGACUGAUAAUCUUUUCCAUGUCUUCUAAGUAUCAAGUGAUAAACUGGCUGUAAUAUUAUUUAAAAAUACUCUUUCUGUG